GAUGAACGCUGGCGGCGUGCCUAAUACAUGCAAGUCGAGCGAACGGACGAGAAGCUUGCUUCUCCUAUGUUAGCGGCGGACGGGUGAGUAACACGUGGAUAACCUACCUAUAAGACUGGGAUAACUUCGGGAAACCGGAGCUAAUACCGGAUAAUAUUUUGAACCGCAUGGUUCAAAAGUGAAAGACGGUCUUGCUGUCACUUAUAGAUGGAUCCGCGCUGCAUUAGCUAGUUGGUAAGGUAACGGCUUACCAAGGCAACGAUGCAUAGCCGACCUGAGAGGGUGAUCGGCCACACUGGAACUGAGACACGGUCCAGACUCCUAAGGGAGGCAGCAGUAGGGAAUCUUCCGCAAAGGGCGAAAGCCUGACGGAGCAACGCCGCGUGAGUGAUGAAGGUCUUCGGAUCGUAAAACUCUGUUAUUAGGGAAGAACAUAUGUGUAAGUAACUGUGCACAUCUUGACGGUACCUAAUCAGAAAGCCACGGCUAACUACGUG
rnacentral:rRNA from 1 species